rnacentral:rRNA from 1 species
UAGGGAAUAUUAGUAAUGGGCGAAAGCCUGAACUAGCAACGCCGCGUGUGCGAAGAAGGCCUUCGGGUUGUAAAGCACAUUUUGAGAGGAUGAGGAAGGACGGUACCCUCAGAAUAAGUCUCGGCUAACUACGUGCCAGCAGCCGCGGUAACACGUAGGAGGCGAACGUUAUCCGGAUUUACUGGGCGUAAAGCGCGUGUAGGUGGUUUGGUAAGUAGGGCGUGAAAGCUCCUGGCUCAACUGGGAGAGGCCGUUCUAAACUGCCGAACUAGAGGAUGGUAGAGGGAGGUGGAAUUCCGGGUGUAGCGGUGGAAUGCGCAGAUAUCCGGAGGAACACCAGUGGCGAAGGCGGCCUCCUGGGCCACUCCUGACACUCAGACGCGAAAGCUAGGGUAGCAAACGG